AUUGAACGCUGGCGGCAGGCCUAACACAUGCAAGUCGAGCGAGCGGCGGACGGGUGAGUAAUGUCUGGGAAACUGCCUGAUGGAGGGGGAUAACUACUGGAAACGGUAGCUAAUACCGCAUACCCUCGGAUGUGACCCGAUGGGAUUAGCUAGUAGGUGGGGGAAAGGCUCACCUAGGCGACGCUCCCUAGCUGGUCUGAGAGGAUGACCAGCCACACUGGAACUGAGACACGGUCCAGACUCCUACGGGAGGCAGCAGUGGGGAAUAUUGCACAAUGGGCGCAAGCCUGAUGCAGCCAUGCCGCGUGUAUGAAGAAGGCCUUCGGGUUGUAAAGUACUUUCAGCGAGGAGGCGUUACUCGCAGAAGAAGCACCGGCUAACUCCGUGCCAGCAGCCGCGGUAAUUC
rnacentral:rRNA from 1 species